rnacentral:rRNA from 1 species
GAUGAACGCUGGCGGCGUGCUUAACACAUGCAAGUCGAACGGUGAAGGCGGAGCUUGGUCUGCUGGAUGAGUGGCGAACGGGUGAGUAACACGUGAGCAAUCUGCCCCUGACUCUGGGAUAAGCGCUGGAAACGGCGUCUAAUACUGGAUACGAGCUGCGGAGGCAUGUUCAGCAGCUGGAAAGAACUGCGGUCAGGGAUGAGCUCGCGGCCUAUCAGCUUGUUGGUGGGGUAACGGCUCACCAAGGCGUUGACGGGUAGCCGGCCUGAGAGGGUGACCGGCCAAUCUGGAACUAGGAAACGGCCCAAACUCCUACGGGGGGAAGCAGUGGGGAAAAUUGCACAAUGGCCGAAACCCUAAGGCAGCACCCCCGCGUGGGGGACAACGGCUUUCGGGUUGAAAACCUCUUUUCGCGGGGAAGAGGCGAAAGGGAGGGAACCGGCAGAAAAAGCGCCGGCUAACUACGU